CGCGUUUUUGUACUAGCAUAUUUACGCUCUAAAUUUUGUGGUAUGUUCAGAAUUUUCGUAAAUACCCGUGUUGAUCCGUCGAUGAUCAGAAUUAUAUUAUGAGAGGACCCUAGGAAGUGUUAUUUUGUCACUUCCUAAGGAAGUUGUGCAUGACGUCAUCAAGAACGUGUCAAUGACGUAUAUUUUCAUAAGAGAGAAUAUUGCUGUACAACUUGUGAAAAUAGUUUGUUUUUUAAAGUUACAGUCACUGGCCCGUCUUCUAUCAAAUUUGGAAGGAAUAAAACUUAAGUACUGAGAACUACAAAGAGUAUGCUGGAAGCUAUUCACAAAACAUCACAAUGGGCUGGAUGUGUGCGUUCAGUCCGCCACCGGAAAACGAACCACGGAUUUUAGCGUUGUUAGAACGUACAGUUACCGUUGACUCACCGGGUGACAAAUUAUUAACGAAGGAAUCGGGAAGUUUUUGCUGUAGAUGGCACGGACCUCCUACGUAGAAAAUUACCUGUUUACGAGUCAAUAACUUCAAAGUGGGGAUUAAAAAAACAACAACAAUCAGUUGGUCGUUAUUCCAGGUAAUUAGCUGUAUAGAAGCAGGUGACAUUACACCAAUGAUGGACGGUUUAUUAGUUCUUUAUUAAACUUUCAUACUACAUAUUAUACUAGGGAGAGCACUAAUUUACUGGUUCAUUAAGAAAGAGAAGGAAGUCCAUAUUUCAAAAUGAUACAACUCACUUUUUUAAAUAUGAUUCAGAUGUGUGUGUUGGUGUGUUUUUGUCUACAGAGUAUAACUAGAGAACAAUCUGAUUCGCAAUUUUCAACUUCAAGAAAAAAGUUUUAAAGCAUUUCGUUCACUAAGGGACUUUCGUUAUCACAGAUCCAAUUAUGUUUUCUAUGUGUUCACCAUGAACUUGUGAUCAAAAAUAUGAUUUAUGGUCAUUAAUCACGAAAUUGUAAUUUAAUACAUAAAUUACACGGUGCUUGUAUUAAUUUGGAUGUGCGAUCAAACACAUAAUUUAU